UGAACCUGUGAGUGUGCAUAUUCUAAACUUGAAAAACGAGUCCAACGAUUGAAUUAGUCGAUAUUUCCAACAAAGAAGCUUAUUGGGGAUUGGGUGUGAUUUGGAUUUUUAUCGGGUAAAUUAAAACGGUUUUAUCGUCACAUUUUUUCGAGAUUCAUGCAUCAAUCAUUCCUACUGUUUGCCCAGUCACACCGGACCGCGGGCAGGAUGUAAUCGCAUUGACGCAUUCCACGAUUAUUCUGGAUCUUUGUUGUUGCACUGGGGGAAACAUUCUGCUGACGGGUCUAAUUGUCAACGCAUGGCGGCGCAUAAUCACGGUAACGGCGGCGUCGCGCAGGAGGAAGAAGUUAUUAAUGGACACUGACCUCGCCAGUUCUUAAUCCUCCUUAAUCUUCUUGCUGCGCCGAGCGUGACUGCUUGCGUGAAGCGAAAGAAAAAUACUGCGUUCAGUAUCCAGUUCGACACAAACUUGCCAAUAUCAUCGUGAGCAUAACUGCUCAAUGCCCACUGCUCAAUGCAUAAUGCUGAAUGAGCAGAACUUUGCCCACAACAAUUUUACCGGAAAUCAAGUGCAACGUUUUAACGGCAGCAUUACUAACGAUGUUUCAGAAAUGCCGAUACGCUCCGAAUGCCCAACAGCAGGUUCAGGAGCUCCAGCUCCAGGUCCAGGAGCUCCAGCUCCAGGUCCAGGAGCUGCUGACACGGGCUGCAGGGUAUGAAGCCACCAUUAGCGACCAAAAAAGGACCAUUAGCGACCUGGCCGCCCAAACUGACGAGCUAUCCCGCACCAUCGGGCGUCUCGAGCUGAACGUGGAGGUUCUGCGCGCUGGUGGGGCGCGCCCGGCCGCUCCGAAGCCGUCUGAAAAGGCACCCCAGGCCUUGCUGGCGGACGACACCAAGUACGGAUUCAUCGUGAUGGGUGGGGACGGGGCACUGUUCGGGACGCUGCAGGGCAACACGCGCGAAAUCCUGUUGCAGUUCAAGGUCGAGCUGCCCAAGAAGUGCGAUGCCGUCGGGCACCGGUCGGCUGGGCGUUUCGCGCGUCGGCGCGUGGAGAAGCGGCACAACUAUGUGCGCAAGGUGGCCGAGGCCGCCGUCACCUGCUUCAUCGCCUACGAUCGCGUGAACGUUGCGGGCUUGGUGCUGGCCGGCAGUGCGGACUUCAAGAAGGAGCUGGAGCAGCCCGACAUUUGGGACCAGCGUCUCCAAGAUAAGAUUGUGAAGAUAGUGGAGAUCUCGUACGGCGGCAUGAUGGGCUUCAACAAUGCCAUCGAGCUGUCGGCCGACUGUCUGACCAGCUUCAAGUUCGUCCAGGUUAAGAUGCUCAUCGGUAAGUUCUUCGACGAGAUGUCGCAGGACACGGGAAAGGUGUGCUUCGGCGUGGACGACACGGUCAAGUGUCUUGAGUCGGGCGCGGUGGAGACGCUCAUCUGCUGGGAGAACCUGGACAUCAUGCGCUACGUCCUGUGCAACACCAACACCGGCGAGAAGAAGAUCGUCUACCUCCGCCGCAAGCAGACCAUCGACAAGAUAAAACUUACCGACGUACGUCGUUUUAGGGCGCUGGAGGAGGACGAGAAGAUGGGGCUGUUGAAGUGGCUAGCCUAUGAGCACAAAAAUUUUGAUGCGACGUUGGAGAUCGUCACCGGCAAUUCACCGGAAGUGUCGCAGUUCGUCCUGGGCUUCGGCGGCAUCGGCGGCAUUUUGCGCUGUCAGAUGAAGCCGCAGCACUUCGACACCAGCCUCCUCCAGGACGACGACAACGCCGCCAAGCUCGAUCUGGAUCUGGAUGACUACAAUCUGGAUGACUACAACGAUCUGGAUGACUACAAUCUGCUCUAAUCAGAGACAUGGGCGCCAGUCGAUUUUAUAUUGGUUGGUUCUGAUCUGUUGGUCGCUUUCGCUGGAUAGAGAGAAUGCAUGAAUGUCGGAUCGCGUCGCGCUUGUUGUAGAACGACAGCGCAUUGAGAUUUGAGCAGAAUGGUUAAUGUUCCCAGUCAACUUCCCACCAGCACACCGAUUCCGAAUAAAAUCAGGAACAUUCGAUUGAUCACGCGAGCGACGUACUUCCAGCCUACGCAAAGGGCAAAUACCGGUUCGCCACGCAGGCGAUGUUUAUGUCAUUCCAUCGGGUUGCUACCACCGAGUCUGCCUGGAUACAAAGAAACACCUGAAUGUAGUCAUGAUGCAUUACGAUAAAAAAGUCAACUGAUCAAUUUUUUUGGCCCGAGUCCCUAAAUGAUCCGGUAUACAUUGAGUACAAUGAACGGAUGAAAUGUCUGCGCCGUUCGUUAAGUUUCCCGUACCAAUCGCGACCGGGAUCCACAGAUUGUGUCAAGUCUUUAAACCGUCCGUGAAAACAGUGUGCUUAAGAAGUUGUAACUUUUAUACCGCAAGUCUGCAAGACUUAAUACAAUGGGCAAUCUCACCUUUACUUUGCUGCUUAUCCUACAACAAUUCCGGCAUGGGAAAUAUUAAAUAGGUGUAUGACAGGAAAUAUGUGUAUUCUUU